rnacentral:lncRNA from 1 species
UCAUAGUAGCCUGAGAGGCACACAGGAUUGUGCACACUAGAAUCAUCUCAUCAUUUGAAUUGGGAGCUGCCUAGUCCUUUGAGUCUGUCAUUCCAAAGACCCUGCUCUUCUAGUGUUUCACAUUUUAAAGUACCUGCUUUUCACAUUAUUCUUUUCCUUUCUUUAGGCAAA